GACGAACGCUGGCGGCGUGCCUAACACAUGCAAGUCGAGCGGUUCAGAGGCCGGAGACCAGAGACCAGAAACCGGAAUUCAUCUGGCUUCUGGCAUCUGGUAUCUGGCCUCUGAAUAGCGGCGAACGGGUGAGUAACGCGUGGGUAACCUGCCUCAUACAGGGGGAUAACACCGGGAAACCGGUGCUAAUACCGCAUAAAGUUACGUCAGGGCAUCCUGAGGUAACCAAAGGAGUAAAAUCCGGUAUGAGAUGGGCCCGCGUCCGAUUAGCUAGUUGGUAGGGUAAUGGCCUACCAAGGCGACGAUCGGUAGCCGAACUGAGAGGUUGAUCGGCCACAUUGGGACUGAGACACGGCCCAGACUCCUACGGGAGGCAGCAGUGGGGAAUAUUGCGCAAUGGGGGAAACCCUGACGCAGCGACGCCGCGUGAAGGAAGAAGGCCUUCGGGUUGUAAACUUCUUUGAUGAGGGACGAAGGAAGUGACGGUACCUCAAGAACAAGCCACGGCUAACUACGUG
rnacentral:rRNA from 1 species